GAUGAACGCUAGCGGCAGGCCUAACACAUGCAAGUCGAGGGGCAGCACAGAAACAGCAAUGUUUUGGUGGCGACCGGCGGACGGGUGCGUAACGCGUAUGCAACCUACCUUUAACAGGGGGAUAACGGAGAGAAAUUUCCACUAAUACCCCAUAACAUCGAUCAAGGCAUCUUGAUUGGUUGAAAACUCGGGUGGGUAAAGAUGGGCAUGCGUUGUAUUAGGUAUUUGGUGAGGUAAUGGCUCACCAAGCCUACGAUAAAGAGGGGGACUGAGAGGUUAGCCCCCCACACGGGUACUGAGACACGGACCAGACUCCUACGGGAGGCGGCAGUGAGGAAUAUUGGUCAAUGGGGGCAACCCUGAACCAGCCAUGCCGCGUGCAGGAAGACGGCUCUAUGAGUUGUAAACUGCUUUUAAACAGGGAUAAAGCACAGUAUGUAUACUGUGUUGAAGGUACUGUAAGAAUAAGGAUCGGCUAACUCCGUGCCAGCCGCCGCCGUAA
rnacentral:rRNA from 1 species